CAAACCGCAGGCGGUGUCUCACAACUACUAGUCUUUUGAACGAGAGAAGACUGAUUGGUAACCUUAGUUUCCUCACCUUCCGCUCCAUGGCCUCUUCUCGACAGAGACUCCAAGAAUGGCACAAGCAGGGCAAAGUUCAGCUCCUUCUUCUUCAGUUGGUAGGGAUUCUGGAGCUACUGCCUCUCCUUCUUUUUAUUCUUCCGUCAAUGGAGAAUCUUCUGGCGCUGCGUCAUCGUCUUAUUCUGGUGCUCGCGAAGAAGUGCACCAAUUUGGAGACUUAGAGUCGGAGCAGCAACACAUUGGUCUAUUUCGACGAAAUUUUCUUGACUUCGAUGAUGCAUCACCGAUUAGAGAUGAUACUUGGUCUUGUGUUAUUGUUGUCUUCACUUUUUGGUUCUUCGGUUGGUAUUUUUAGGAUUUUUUUUUUAAGUGUGUGAUAGAAGUAAUUGAUUCUCAGUCGUGCAUUUUCAGAUUGGCUAGUAGACCAAAUUUUUUAAUUAUUUUAUUGUUGAAUUUGCUUGUUAUUUUCAUAAUUUGACCAUGAACUGUUGAUUUUUCAGUAUCAAUGACUCUGAUUUUGGGAGUCUAUGGUUCUGUGAGUAUAAUCAUAGGACCCAAUACCUCAGCUCUUAUUCAAACGAGUCCCUUUUUUGUGCAGUCUGUAAAGGUAAAAUUUCCUUUUCAUUCGUAGUUCUUUUUGAUGUUUUAUCAUAAUCUUUCAGUAAUUUGGAUAGGCUCUUACUAGGUGGAAGAGGUGGAUAGUAAUAAUCCUGAGCUAAUUCUAUAUGGAUUUUAUAAAUCUCCAUCACUUGAUGUUGUGAAGUCCUGGACCAAAUCUGUUAAUGUCUCUGUUCCAGCAGAUUCCCAUAAGGCAAGUUUAAUUUUCAGAUAAUGUUGCCUGCAAUAUAUCAACCCAAUUCUGCUAUGAAUGUAUUUUAGAUGUUCGUAAUGAUAAGAUAUAGACUAUGAAUCAUUUUAUCUUUUCAGGAGUGGAUAUAUUUCCUGAAUAAGGGAUCUCAAAUAAAUAUUUCAUACCAUGUGAACUCCCCGAGCUCAUCGCUUUUUCUUGUAAUUGCCCAAGGUACUUUUAGAACUUCAUUAGUAGAUAUUCUUUGCAAAAUCAUCUCUUUACCUUCCCUUUUUUUUCCUCUUCCUCAUAGUAGUCAUUUGUAUAUACUCUUAAGAUUGCAUACAAAAGCAUCAAGUCAUGGAAAUUGAAGGCUUGUUUCUUUUUUUCAAGCAUAAAGUUUGGGCAAAAUACAUAUUCUUACUGAAUGCAUGUGAAAGCAUCAUAUUCACGGAAAUUGAAUGCCUUCAUUUUUUUAAUCUUUUUCUGUAUGCAGUUCGGAAUUUGGAUGUAUUUUUAUAUCCCAAUGAAACAUGUAAGAGUACUGUAGCUAUCCUAAUGAAUAAUUUUAAGCAGAGAAAGCCGGAAAUUGUGAUAUUUCUUAAGCAUUAAGACUAUAUGUUCUUAUAUAGGUUCUCAUUGCUUCUAUUGGCAACUGACUCUCACAAAUAUGUUGUAGACGACACAGUCACACAAGUAAAGUGAAGCUAACAAUGGAAGGCAAUUGCCUAUUUUUCUGUUGAUGCCCCUUUAAUCACUUAUCUGUGUUUCACAAUGCUGACAGCUUCUUAAUCAUUGCCCACACCUGAGAAAAACAUAGUUGAUUUAUCUAUA
rnacentral:misc_RNA from 1 species